AUUGAACGCUGGCGGCAUGCCUUACACAUGCAAGUCGAACGGCAGCAUGAUCUAGCUUGCUAGAUUGAUGGCGAGUGGCGAACGGGUGAGUAAUACAUCGGAACGUGCCCUGUAGUGGGGGAUAACUAGUCGAAAGAUUAGCUAAUACCGCAUACGACCUGAGGGUGAAAGUGGGGGACCGCAAGGCCUCAUGCUAUAGGAGCGGCCGAUGUCUGACUAGCUAGUUGGUGAGGUAAAGGCUCACCAAGGCGACGAUCAGUAGCUGGUCUGAGAGGACGAUCCGCCACAGGGGGAGUGAGACGCGCCCCAGACCCCCGCGGGGGGCGGAAGGGGGGAUUUGUGGACAGGGGGCAAAGGCCGGACCCAACAGGGCCGCGUGUGGGAAAAGGCCCUUGGGGUUGAAAAGCUCUUUUCCCGGGAAAAAAAUGUCUGGGGUUAAUCCCGGGGGUCGAUGAGGGACCGGAAAAAAAAAGACCGGGCUAACUACGUC
rnacentral:rRNA from 1 species